AUUGAACGCUGGCGGCAGGCCUAACACAUGCAAGUCGAGCGGGGUUUUCGGACCUAGCGGCGGACGGGUGAGUAAUGCGUAGGAAGCUACCCGAUAGAGGGGGAUACCUGUUGGAAACGACUGUUAAUACCGCAUAAUGUCUACGGACCAAAGUGUGGGACCUUCGGCUCACAUGCUAUCGGAUGCGCCUACGUGGGAUUAGCUAGUUGGUGAGGUAAUGGCUCACCAAGGGGACGAUCCCUAGCUGGUUUUAGAGGAUGAUCAGCCACACUGGAACUGAGACACGGUCCAGACUCCUACGGGAGGCAGCAGUGGGGAAUAUUGGACAAUGGGCGCAAGCCUGAUCCAGCUAUGCCGCGUGUGUGAAGAAGGCCUUCGGGUUGUAAAGCACUUUCAGUAGGGAGGAAGGGUUAAGUGUUAAUAGUACUUAACUUUGACGUUACCUACAGAAGAAGCACCGGCUAACUCUGUGCCAGCAGCCGCCGUAAGAC
rnacentral:rRNA from 1 species